GGACAGAGAGAGACAGAGCAUGAACUGGGGAGGGGCAGAGAGAGAGGGAGACACAGAAUCGGAAACAGGCUCCAGGCUCCGAGCCGUCAGCCCAGAGCCCGACGCGGGGCUCGAACUCACGGACCGCGAGAUCGUGACCUGGCUGAAGUCGGACGCUCAACCGACUGCGCCACCCAGGCGCCCCUGAGAAGCGUUUCUGAAAGAGAAGAGACAGUAUGUGGCAAACACUGGUUGUGGAGGCUGAGGGAGAGGCGGAAACGGAGCAGGACUUUGAAGUUGCUCGGUACAAGGGAGACUGGUGGCUGGUGGUACUAUUCACUGAGGUGCAAGAACAAGCAACAAGAUGGGUUUUCUACUCCAGGGUUCUUCUGACUAGAGAGUGACCAUUAACAUUGGCGCUGGUGGUCAGGGACCAAACAAGAAGACAGGAUGUCCGCGGCUGAGAAACUGGAGCAAGCCUGCCUCAGAAUGAAACCACAGAUCUCAACUGCCACGCUUUGGGCUCAAGAAGUUGGUCUUAAAUCCAGCUGUUCCCCUGCAAUCCACAUCCCCAUGCUCACUGCCGGAGUUUGGGCCCCAAGCAUCUUUCAUCGGGGCUCCUGUUCGAGUUUCUCCUUUGCAAGAAAGAAGGCAAUGCAGUAAGGUGGAAAGAGAGUUACGAAGGAACCAGAAGAAAACUUCUGUAAGCACCCAGAGAAAGCCUUAUUCCCACUGUCCAAUUCUGCUAACAAAGACGAGGAGAAAAUUUUAAAUUCCAAGGCACUUAGUUACUGAUCUGAUUCUGGCCUGCAUGUGGAUAUUCAAUAAAUACUUGUUAAAUUAAA